rnacentral:tRNA from 1 species
GCGGAUAUUGCAUAAAGGUAGUGUCUUUGCCUUCCAAGCAAAAGGUACGGGUUCGAUUCCCGUUAUCCGCU